rnacentral:rRNA from 1 species
AUGAACGCUGGCGGCGUGCCUAAUCCAUGCAAGUCGAGCGAACGGACGAGAAGCUUGCUUCUCUGAUGUUAGCGGCGGACGGGUGAGUAACCCGUGGAUAACCUACCUAUAAGACUGGGAUAACUUCGGGAAACCGGAGCUAAUACCGGAUGAUAUUUUGAACCGCAUGGUUCAAAAGUGAAAGACGGUCUUGCUGUCACUUAUAGAUGGAUCCGCGCCGCAUUAGCUAGUUGGUAAGGUAACGGCUUACCAAGGCAACGAUGCAUAGCCGACCUGAGAGGGUGAUCGGCCACACUGGAACUGAGACACGGUCCAGACUCCUACGGGAGGCAGCAGUAGGGAAUCUUCCGCAAUGGGCGAAAGCCUGACGGAGCAACGCCGCGUGAGUGAUGAAGUUCUUCGGAUCGUAAAACUCUGUUAUUAGGGAAGAACAUAUGUGUAAGUAACUGUGCACAUCUUGACGGUACCUAAUCAGAAAGCCACGGCUAACUACGUG